rnacentral:rRNA from 1 species
AGCGAACGCUGGCGGCAUGCCUAACACAUGCAAGUCGAACGAACCUUUCGGGUUUAGUUGCGGACGGGUGAGUAACACGUUGGAACGUGCCUUUAGGGUCGGAAUAACUCAGGGGAACUGGUUCUAAUACCGACUGUGCCCUUCGGGGGAAAGAUUAAUCGCCUUUAGGGCGGCCCGCGUGUGAUUAGCUAGUUGGUUGAGGUAAUGGCUCACCAAGGCGACGAUCAGUAGCUGGUCUGAGAGGAUGAUCAGCCACAUUGGGACUGAGACACGGCCCAAACUCCUACGGGAGGCAGCAGUGGGGAAUCUUGCGCAAUGGGCGAAAGCCUGACGCAGCCAUGCCGCGUGAAUGAUGAAGGUCUUAGGAUUGUAAAAUUCUUUCACCGGGGACGAUAAUGACGGUACCCGGAGAAGAAGACCCGGCUAACUUCGUGC